CGUGACAUGAGUUUAAUGUUGCUUCUGAUGACGAAGAAUUUUUUGGUGCAAAUACAACUUUGGCUAAAGAGGACCAUGGCUCAUGAUAUGUUUGUGAACACAAGGGCACUUUUUGGUAUUAACCCAGACCAUGGAAGCAAGGCUAACAAAAAAAAGAAGGAAAUAGAAUUCAAAAGUCUUCAGUUUUACAAAAAAAUCAUGGAUUCUGAAUGGAAUGUUUAGAUUUUUGAAGACUUAAAAAAGUACAUGGUGGAUCAAACUGUUACAAAAAGAUCAUGAUAAAGUUAUUUCUUUUGCCUGGAAUGGACAUAUGCCAAAUGCAGAAUCCAGGUGUUUGGAGAAUUUUAAUAAAUAGCAGUAU